CAAUAGCGUAUAUUAAAGUUGUUGCAGUUAGAACGCUCGUAGUCGGAUUUCGGGGCGGGCCGACCGGUCUGCCGAUGGGUAUGCACUGGUCGGCGCGUCCUUCCUUCCGGAGACCGUCCCUACUCUUAACUGAGCGGGGGCGGGAGACGGGACUUUUACUUUGAAAAAAUCAGAGUGUUUCAAGCAGGCAGCUCGCUCUUGCAUGGAUUAGCAUGGGAUAAUGAAAUAGGACUUUGGUGCUAUUUUGUUGGUUUCGAACACCGAAGUAAUGAUGAGAAGGGACAGUCAGGGGCACUCGUAUUCCGCCGAGAGAGGUGAAAUUCUCAGACCAGCGGGAGACGAACCACUGCGAAAGCAUUUGCCAGGGAUGUUUUCACUGA
rnacentral:rRNA from 1 species